CGCACCCGUCCCGCCUGUCUAAGCUGCGCUACCUCCACGCUAGACAGUCUGUGAAUAGCAACUAAUCAGCGACAUCAAUGCGAAAGCACAAAGUCAGACUCCGGAGCGGCACUCGUGGGAGCGACCCAACCGAGUAUGCAAGCGUAUCUCUGUCGAGCUCAAUCAGGCUCUCACAGGCUAAAGCCAAGAAAACAGGUCUAACAGUACUACCAACCCCUAGUCACGUGCUCUCGGUACAAUCUGAUAUCGGAACGAUCAAAUCCGGGUCCGCCGUCAACCACUACGGCACCCACUAAUCCGGAACACUAUAAACACUACUGUAAAAUCGGCUCGAUAUCCCAGCACGAGCGUAACUGAAAUCUGAAUUAUCUGGGAUACUCACUAUGAGGAUACUGCAACAGUAUAAAAAUACAACGGCCCCUAGGGCUAAAUCAGGUAGUUCAACAUAUGCCAGGUCCCGAACGCUGGUUUUCUCCUAUGUUUUAUCCAAGUCCCACAUGUAUGAUUAAUAACAACUAAUAACAUGCUCCCAAUUUAGUUUAUAUGUCUAACACAUACCUACUCAUGAAUUUGAGCUAAACAAUAACAAC
rnacentral:lncRNA from 1 species